rnacentral:misc_RNA from 1 species
GAUGAAGAACGUAGCGAAAUGCGAUAAGUAAUGUGAAUUGCAGAAUUCAGUGAAUCAUCGAAUCUUUGAACGCACAUUGCGCCCGCUAGUAUUCUGGCGGGCAUGCCUGUUCGAGCGUCAUUUCAACCAUCAAGCCCUGUUUAGGCUUGUGUUGGGGCCCUGCGGUUGCCGCAGCCCCCUAAAUGCAGUGGCGGGCUCGUUGUCACUCCGAGCGCAGUAGCGUAUCUCGCUCUGGGCGUGGCGGCGGGUGCUAGCCGUGAAACAACCACUAAGGUUGACCUCGGAUCAGGUAGGAAUACCCGCUGAACUUAAGCAUAUCAAUAAGCGGAGGA